rnacentral:lncRNA from 1 species
UGGGCCCCCAAAAUAAACAUAUAUGUACAAGACUAUAGACCUGUGAUUUCUAAGGGUGCAAACCCAAAAGCAAACCCUUGACAUAAUCAGCGGUCUACAGACUGCCCUGAGUUGGAAAUAGGUGAAAAGAAGGGGUGAGUUUUUAUAAACCAGUGAGUAAGCAAAUUUCAUCUAAAACAUCUAAAGUCGAGUAAAUGGAGACAAUUUAAAAUAUCUCAACAUAAUAUGAUUCAUAACAUCAAAUCUCAUUUCAACCCAUGUAAAUCAAUUUCAUUUCAUCAAAAUCAACAAGGCUUAUGAUUCUCUUAAAGCUUGGCUCGUGCCAAAAACUUGCACUCGGUGACACUUUGAGCUGAGGCAUCCAACUGAGUCCGCCAAGGUUGUUAAAAUAACAUAUGAGUAUAAAACUCAUUUUUCCUUUACAUUUAAAAGCACAACCAUUCCUUGGCGUUGGCUAAGUUUCACCCUCACGUGGUGGUUCGGCGUGAGGUGAACUCUAACUUUACCUUAGGAGAUACCCUCUGCGCCUCUCGUACCAAGGUAAAAUAUAAUCGGGUUUACCGUGUCCCUAGAAUAGGCUAGUCCAUGAAAAUCCACCCACUGCAGUAAGCUAGUCAAAUAACCCACCAAUUCAAUAAAAUUUUUGACAGCAUGACAUGGCUA